CUGGCUGCAACUGUUUAAUAAAAACACAGCACUGUGCAAACACGAAAGUGGACGUAUACGGUGUGACGCCUGCCCGGUGCUGGAAGGUUAAUUGAUGGGGUCAGCCGCAAGGCGAAGCUCUUGAUCGAAGCCCCAGUAAACGGCGGCCGUAACUAUAACGGUCCUAAGGUAGCGAAAUUCCUUGUCGGGUAAGUUCCGACCUGCACGAAUGGCGUAAUGAUGGCCAGGCUGUCUCCACCCGAGACUCAGUGAAAUUGAACUCGCUGUGAAGAUGCAGUGUACCCGCGGCAAGACGGAAAGACCCCGUGAACCUUUACUAUAGCUUGACACUGAACAUUGAGCCUUGAUGUGUAGGAUAGGUGGGAGGCUUUGAAGCGUGGACGCCAGUCUGCGUGGAGCCAUCCUUGAAAUACCACCCUU
rnacentral:rRNA from 1 species